rnacentral:rRNA from 1 species
GAGUAGGGCGGGACACGUGGUAUCCUGUCUGAAUAUGGGGGGACCAUCCUCCAAGGCUAAAUACUCCUGACUGACCGAUAGUGAACCAGUACCGUGAGGGAAAGGCGAAAAGAACCCCGGCGAGGGGAGUGAAAAAGAACCUGAAACCGUGUACGUACAAGCAGUGGGAGCACCUUCGGGUGUGACUGCGUACCUUUUGUAUAAUGGGUCAGCGACUUAUAUUCUGUAGCAAGGUUAACCGUAUAGGGGAGCCGCAGGGAAACCGAGUCUUAACUGGGCGUUAAGUUGCAGGGUAUAGACCCGAAACCCGGUGAUCUAGCCAUGGGCAGGUUGAAGGUUGGGUAACACUAACUGGAGGACCGAACCGACUAAUGUUGAAAAAUUAGCGGAUGACUUGUGGCUGGGGGUGAAAGGCCAAUCAAACCGGGAGAUAGCUGGUUCUCCCCGAAAGCUAUUUAGGUAGCGCCUCGUGAAUUCAUCUUCGGGGGUAGAGCACUGUUUCGGCUAGGGGGUCAUCCCGACUUACCAACCCGAUGCAAACUACGAAUACCGAAGAAUGUUAUCACGGGAGACACACGGCGGGUGCUAACGUCCGUCGUGAAGAGGGAAACAACCCAGACCGCCAGCUAAGGUCCCAAAGUCAUGGUUAAGUGGGAAACGAUGUGGGAAGGCACAGACAGCCAGGAUGUUGGCUUAGAAGCAGCCAUCAUUUAAAGAAAGCGUAAUAGCUCACUGGUCGAGUCGGCCUGCGCGGAAGAUGUAACGGGGCUAAACCAUGCACCGAAGCUGCGGCAGCGACACUAUGUGUUGUUGGGUAGGGGAGCGUUCUGUAAGCCUGCGAAGGUGACCUGUGAGGGUUGCUGGAGGUAUCAGAAGUGCGAAUGCUGACAUAAGUAACGAUAAAGCGGGUGAAAAGCCCGCUCGCCGGAAGACCAAGGGUUCCUGUCCAACGUUAAUCGGGGCAGGGUGAGUCGACCCCUAAGGCGAGGCCGAAAGGCGUAGUCGAUGGGAAACAGGUUAAUAUUCCUGUACUUGGUGUUACUGCGAAGGGGGGACGGAGAAGGCUAUGUUAGCCGGGCGACGGUUGUCCCGGUUUAAGCAUGUAGGCUGGUUAUCCAGGCAAAUCCGGAUAAUCAAGGCUGAGGUGUGAUGACGAGGCACUACGGUGCUGAAGUAACAAAUGCCCUGCUUCCAGGAAAAGCCUCUAAGCAUCAGGUAACAUCAAAUCGUACCCCAAACCGACACAGGUGGUCAGGUAGAGAAUACCAAGGCGCUUGAGAGAACUCGGGUGAAGGAACUAGGCAAAAUGGUGCCGUAACUUCGGGAGAAGGCACGCUGGUGUGUAGGUGAAGUCCCUGCGGAUGGAGCUGAGACCAGUCGAAGAUACCAGCUGGCUGCAACUGUUUAUUAAAAACACAGCACUGUGCAAACACGAAAGUGGACGUAUACGGUGUGACGCCUGCCCGGUGCCGGAAGGUUAAUUGAUGGGGUUAUCCGUAAGGAGAAGCUCUUGAUCGAAGCCCCGGUAAACGGCGGCCGUAACUAUAACGGUCCUAAGGUAGCGAAAUUCCUUGUCGGGUAAGUUCCGACCUGCACGAAUGGCGUAAUGAUGGCCAGGCUGUCUCCACCCGAGACUCAGUGAAAUUGAACUCGCUGUGAAGAUGCAGUGUACCCGCGGCAAGACGGAAAGACCCCGUGAACCUUUACUAUAGCUUGACACUGAACAUUGAGCCUUGAUGUGUAGGAUAGGUGGGAGGCUUUGAAGCGUGGACGCCAGUCUGCGUGGAGCCAACCUUGAAAUACCACCCUUUAAUGUUUGAUGUUCUAACGUUGGCCCCU